GACGAACGCUGGCGGCGUGCUUAACACAUGCAAGUCGAACGGAAAGGCCCUGCUUUUGUGGGGUGCUCGAGUGGCGAACGGGUGAGUAACACGUGAGUAACCUGCCCUUGACUUUGGGAUAACUUCAGGAAACUGGGGCUAAUACCGGAUAGGAGCUCCUGCUGCAUGGUGGGGGUUGGUAAGUUUCGGCGGUUGGGGAUGGACUCGCGGCUUAUCAGCUUGUUGGUGGGGUAGUGGCUUACCAAGGCUUUGACGGGUAGCCGGCCUGAGAGGGUUACCGGCCACAUUGGGACUGAGAUACGGCCCAGACACCUACGGGAGGCAGCAGGGGGGAAAAUGGCACAAGGGGCGGAAGCCUGAUGCAGCAACGCCGGGUGCGGGAUGACGGCCUUCGGGUAGUAAACCGCUUACGCCUGUGACGAAGCGUGAGUGACGGGAAUGGGUAAAGAAGCACCGGCUAACUACGUG
rnacentral:rRNA from 1 species